AUUGAACGCUGGCGGCAGGCCUAACACAUGCAAGUCGAGCGAGCGGCGGACGGGUGAGUAAUGUAUGGGGAUCUGCCCGAUAGAGGGGGCUAACUACUCGAAACAGUGGCUAAUACCGCAUACUUUUGGAUCGACCGAUAUGGGAUUAGCUAGUUGGUGAGGUAAUGGCUAACCAAGGCGACGAUCCGUAGCUGGUUUGAGAGGAUGAUCAGCCACACUGGGACUGAGACACGGCCCAGACUCCUACGGGAGGCAGCAGUGGGGAAUAUUGCACAAUGGGCGAAAGCCUGAUCCAGCCAUGCCGCGUGUAUGAAGAAGGCCCUAGGGUUGUAAAGUACUUUCGGUAGAGAAGCGGUAUCGGCAGAAGAAGCACCGGCUAACUACGUGCCAGCAGCCGCGGUAAUUC
rnacentral:rRNA from 1 species